CCGCCCGGAGAGAGCUGGCCGGGAUGAGGCGCCGGCUUUCCCGGGUCUUCUCCAGCUGCCACCGCUUUACUGCAAAACUGACGGGCGCAAAAACAUGAGUGACUCCGCGGGAGGGCGCGCUGGUCUCCGGCGUUACCCCAAGCUCCCAGUGUGGGUGGUGGAGGAUCAUCAGGAGGUUCUACCCUUUAUAUACCGGGCCAUAGGCUCAAAGCAUCUUCCUGCCAGUAAUAGAAUUAAGUAUUGAAAAUUGGAUUAUGCCUGCAGUUUAUGCUGGCCAUUUUUCACAUGUAAUAUGGUUUCAUCCCACAUGGGCUCAGCAGAUCAGAGAGGGCAGACACCACUUUUUAGUAGGCAAAGACACUUCUACCACAACAAUCAGAAGGACUGGAAAAGGACACAGCAACACAGAGAAGUGACCAGACUUGCCUAGAACCAUCAUGUUCAUGUUCUUCUGAAAAUCAGGAAUGCCAGACUGCUGCCAGCACUGGGGAAAUUCUGGAAAUUUUGAAGAAAGGGAAGGCAUUUGUUUUAGAUAUUGACUUGGAUUUUUUUUCAGUCAAGAAUCCCUUCAAAGAAAUGUUCA
rnacentral:lncRNA from 1 species